AACACAUGCAAGUCGAGCGGGGAAAGGUAGCUUGCUACCUAACCUAGCGGCGGACGGGUGAGUAAUGCUUAGGAAUCUGCCUAUUAGUGGGGGACAACAUUCCGAAAGGAAUGCUAAUACCGCAUACGUCCUACGGGAGAAAGCAGGGGACCUUCGGGCCUUGCGCUAAUAGAUGAGCCUAAGUCGGAUUAGCUAGUUGGUGGGGUAAAGGCCUACCAAGGCGACGAUCUGUAGCGGGUCUGAGAGGAUGAUCCGCCACACUGGGACUGAGACACGGCCCAGACUCCUACGGGAGGCAGCAGUGGGGAAUAUUGGACAAUGGGGGGAACCCUGAUCCAGCCAUGCCGCGUGUGUGAAGAAGGCCUUUUGGUUGUAAAGCACUUUAAGCGAGGAGGAGGCUACUAGUAUUAAUACUACUGGAUAGUGGACGUUACUCGCAGAAUAAGCACCGGCUAACUCUGUGCCAGCAGCCGCGGUAAUACAGAGGGUGCGAGCGUUAAUCGGAUUUACUGGGCGUAAAGCGUGCGUAGGCGGCUGAUUAAGUCGGAUGUGAAAUCCCUGAGCUUAACUUAGGAAUUGCAUUCGAUACUGGUCAGCUAGAGUAUGGGAGAGGAUGGUAGAAUUCCAGGUGUAGCGGUGAAAUGCGUAGAGAUCUGGAGGAAUACCGAUGGCGAAGGCAGCCAUCUGGCCUAAUACUGACGCUGAGGUACGAAAGCAUGGGGAGCAAACAGGAUUAGAUACCCUGGUAGUCCAUGCCGUAAACGAUGUCUACUAGCCGUUGGGGCCUUUGAGGCUUUAGUGGCGCAGCUAACGCGAUAAGUAGACCGCCUGGGGAGUACGGUCGCAAGACUAAAACUCAAAUGAAUUGACGGGGGCCCGCACAAGCGGUGGAGCAUGUGGUUUAAUUCGAUGCAACGCGAAGAACCUUACCUGGUCUUGACAUAGUAAGAACUUUCCAGAGAUGGAUUGGUGCCUUCGGGAACUUACAUACAGGUGCUGCAUGGCUGUCG
rnacentral:rRNA from 1 species